CUUGAAUGCUAUUCUCCUCCUUUCUAGAAAUGCAUUGAUGUAAUAACACUGUCCACCUUAAGGCAACAAGGUACCUACAUACAAAAAUGAUUCCUUAUGUUGGUAUAACACCUGUAACAUUUCAAAGCUUUCUCAUGAUAGUAUUUAAUGUCUUAUAGCUGUAUUAUAGCAGAAAGUCACAUUUUUUAUUGUUCAGCACUAAGAAACUAAAUUGUGUGUACAUUCUUUUUAUCUUUCAUGAUGACAGGUAUUCUAUUGCUCAACCAAGAGAUUUAAUUGGAAAAUAAGAAAUUCCUGGAAUACACUACUUGCCUAAAGCUUUUUCCAUCUAGAGUCAGUGCUUGAGGCUCAAAGGCAUUCUCUGCAAAGCCAUUGAAAACAACUACAGCUCUGCAUGACCACCUGAACCAGCAGCUCUCACUUAAACUUGGGCAGUCUCCUGAGACGUUGAUUGUUGUUGACUGUGGCCUGGAGUUUUAGUGCAGAGGCUAACAUGAAAAAAAGAUGCAUUGUUGGGCUUUGCUGGGGAGAGAGAUUCUUCAUUUGUAGUCUCAGCAAUAGCUUCAAAUGGGACCAUUUCUAAUACACUACAUGUGAGUCUGAAUCAAAGGCUUAAAAUGCCGUUAUCUAAAAAUCUAAUAAAACAUUUGGCUCUCUCUGAAAGAAGCACAUGUUAAUUGCUUGUCAAACGAUGAAUUUUCAUUUCCCAAAAUGAUUGAUAUCUCUGUGACUCUGUGAGGAGAAAGCACCAUGCU
rnacentral:lncRNA from 1 species